CCAGUACGUUGCUAAAAUUCCUGAGCUGUCUAAUUUGGAAGGGUGGUUUCAAAGGCCUAAGGACAUUGUGAGGAAGUUGCUGUCUGGGGAUUUGGACCUUGGCAUUACCGGUCUUGACACCGUCAGUGAAUAUGGACGGGGAGUGAAGA